rnacentral:rRNA from 1 species
AUUGAACGCUGGCGGAAUGCUUUACACAUGCAAGUCGAACGGUAACAGGUUAAGCUGACGAGUGGCGAACGGGUGAGUAAUACAUCGGAACGUGCCCAGUCGUGGGGGAUAACGUAGAGAAAUUUACGCUAAUACCGCAUACGAUCUAAGGAUGAAAGCGGGGGACCGUAAGGCCUCGCGCGAUUGGAGCCGCCGAUGUCAGAAUAGGUAGUUGGUGGGGUAAAGGCCUACCAAGCCGACGAUCUGUAGCUGGUCUGAGAGGACGACCAGCCACACGGGGACUGAGACACGGCCCAGACUCCUGCCGGAGGAAGCAGUGGGGAAUUUUGGACAAUGCGCGCAAGCCUGAUCCAGCCAUUCCGCGUGAAGGAUGAAGUCCUUCUGGUUGUAAUCUGCUUUUGUACAGAACAAAAAGGUCUGGGUUAAUACCCUGGGCUCAUGACGGUACUGUAAGAAUAAGCACCGGCUAAGUACGUGCCAGCCGCCGCAGUAA